GGUUAAAUCUCCUCUGUCAUUGUGCAUUGUGUAAAUAUUGUUUCUUUUUCUUUUGCCUUGGAUUUAGCUUGCAUUGCAUAAAAUGAAUAUAGCUCCACCCAUAGUUUGUUGGGAACUGUGUGAAAUCACCACCCCUAGAUGAAGUACUAGGCUGUAUCCUACUUCCCCCCAUGUAGCCUGUUUUACCCCUCCUAUGCAGUAAAGUUAAACCAAUAAAGUAUUUACUUUUGCCUACCCCUCCCUGGACAUUCCAAUCCCUCCCUAGACAAUGAUGCCUUAUAUACCAUUGUUAUGAACAAUAAACGGAGAGUGAUUCUUAAUUACAUGGUGUCGUGUAUAAUCUGUAAUUUUAAGGAUUGCUCUCACUGACGUCAGUGGCCAUCAAAUCGAGGGGUACAAGAAGAGGCUGAUAUCCUUUCAAGUGGGGGCUCAGUCCUGGAUUCAGUUGAUCGCCCCCGAAUCGGAACCUACACACCCCUUUAAAGUCGGAGACAGAGUCGUGGUGAAGGUGCUCCCCAGGAACAAGAACCCAGGAGACUUCACCUACGGUCCAGAGACAGAGGUCGUAGCAGUAACCAGAACAGCAGUCCUGACAGAGGAAAGCCCCACCUGGAUCCAUGCAUCCCGAGUGAAAAAGGUUCCUAGACCAGACCUAGAGAGGGAAGCAAGUGAUUCCAGCGAGGUACGAACGGGGGCAGACAGCCCUGACCUCCCACCUAGCGAAGACAGAAGAACAGAGGAGGAUGAGGAACCUGUCCCCUACCUCUAUCCUGGGGACUAUGUUGAUAAUCCUAAUGGUCCUCACUUGCCAAGCUACAGCUGAAGUAGACAUUACACAAAAAUCCGGCACCUACACAUUUUGGUAUAACUCCUCCAAUACUGAGGUUGCCGCCUAUAAAAUAGAUUUCUGUACCAUUGCUCCCUGUCUUAACAAACAUUAUGCCUGGCAGUGUGAUCAGUAUGGUACACGUAAUACCCCCACUGAAGCCUAUAUUUGUGUUACUAGUAAAUAUUGGGGAAAUAAAUGUGCGUAUUGGGGAUCAGUGGGAUGGAAUUCUGGCCAUAGUUAUGGAUACCAGCCCAAAGAGGCUCUCUCAAGAAAAGACAAAUAUGGUGAGUCCCUGCUUACCCGUCUUACCCUUCAUAGACAAAACAGAUGUGAUAGUAAAUUCAUAUUAAGCAUAAAACAUCCCCAGUCUACUGAUGCAGGCACCUAUGUCCUAGGUGAAUCCUUUUUUUUUAAACCCAUCCCUUACACCAUUCUUGUUACAGGAUAUGCUUAACAAUGAAAAGUAUGCCCAGCUCAAGCCCCCUAAACCACGCCCCAACCUCUUGAAACCUCAUAUAACCACCUUCAAGGAUAUGAUGGCCGUUAACAAUCCCACCUUUAAAGACACCCUAGCUAUUGAAACUGGUUUCUCUGACAUCAAUUUCUGGUUAGAAUGGAUGAAGUAUAGUGCUAGCAAACAUAAUAAAAGUAACUGCUAUGUCUGUGGCAAAUCUAGGCCCCACCUAGGUACAGUGCCCCUUAAUAUACCCCUAGAACAGGAACAUUGUUUUUUCAGCCUUUUUAAUGACACCAAAACAAAUGACAGUCAGUGCGAAAUGUGGAAAAGGGAAUAUCCCAUAUUGUCAAAAAAUCCCAACCCAGGAAGCACCAUAACCAUAUAUCCUGGAAACUAUACCUGUUACACAUCUAACACUACCACAGGUAGAAAUUUAAAAACCUUCCCACCAGGGUACUGUGCAAAUAAAAGAACAACUGUUUUAGUUAACCAAACUAGAUCACUAGGUGACAUUUAUUAUAUAUGUGGGGAUAUGAAGCUUAGAACUAAAUUAGACACACCAUGGUAUGGUGAGUGUGCCCUAGCCAAAGUCAUAAUGCCACUCCUAAUGAUCACCGAUGACCCCACUCCUCCCUCUAAUACUCCUGCUAAUCGAAAGAAAAGAGCACUCCCAGGAGGUAGCUUUGACCCCCACGUAUACAUUGAUGCUAUAGGGGUCCCAAGAGGUGUUCCAAAUGAGUUCAAAGCUAGAGAUGAAGUGGCUGCGGGUUUUGAAUCAUUGUUCCCUAUAGUAACUGUAAAUAAAAACGUAGCCUGGAUUAAUUAUAUAUAUUAUAACCAACAAAGAUUUGUUAAUGAUACCAAAGAUGCUCUUAAAGGUAUAGCUGAACAGCUAGAAGCCACUUCCCAAAUGACAUUUCAAAACAGAAUGGCCCUUGACAUGAUUCUAGCAGAAAAAGGCGGUACAUGUGUUUACAUUAGUAAGGUGGAAGGCUGUUGUACAUAUAUUCCUGACAACACUGGUCCCAAUGGUAAGGUUACUUUAGCCAUAAACAAAUUAGAAACCUUAUCCAUAGAACUUAAGAAAAAUUCAGGUGUUGAUAACCCAUGGAGCCAAUAUUUUGGGUGGAUUGAAAAUUGGAAACAGGCUCUUGUGCAAAUAAGUAUAUUCAUAAUAAUAACUUUAAUCUUUAUAGGUCUCAUAGUUUAUUGUGUGAUUCCCUGUGGAAAGAAACUCACAUCUAAAGGUAUUGACACAGUCUUGAUGUAUUAUGAUGUUACCACUAGCCCCAUCACCUCCUCUGAUAGCAAAGGCCCCGAUGAUUAUGUUCAAUAUCUAAAAAAAUUGGAGAAACAAAAAGGGGGCUCUACAGAAGAAUCAUGUCGUAUAACAAUCAUGAUUCUAAGAGGGGAUUGAAGGGUUAAAUCUCCUCUGUCAUUGUGCAUUGUGUAAAUAUUGUUUCUUUUUCUUUUGCCUUGGAUUUAGCUUGCAUUGCAUAAAAUGAAUAUAGCUCCACCCAUAGUUUGUUGGGAACUGUGUGAAAUCACCACCCCUAGAUGAAGUACUAGGCUGUAUCCUACUUCCCCCCAUGUAGCCUGUUUUACCCCUCCUAUGCAGUAAAGUUAAACCAAUAAAGUAUUUACUUUUGCCUACCCCUCCCUGGACAUUCCAAUCCCUCCCUAGACAAUGAUGCCUUAUAUACCAUUGUUAUGAACAAUAAACGGAGAGUGAUUCUUAA